CCCUCCUACAAAGGCGUGUCUAUUGUUCCCUGUCUUUGGAUGCGUAAGAAUUGGAGGUACAGAAAGGUGGACUUGGGAAGUCUGAGGCCAGCUUGCUCCCCGCAGGCUCAAGAUGAACCAUCCCACAUAG